UACGUAGGCAGCAAGCGUUGUUCGGAAUUACUGGGCGUAAAGAGUGUGUAGGCGGUGCUCUAAGUUCGGUGUGAAAUCUCCUGGCUCAACUGGGAGGGUGCGCCGGAAACUGGAGUGCUUGAGCGUGGGAGAGGAAAGCGGAAUUCCUGGUGUAGCGGUGAAAUGCGUAGAUAUCAGGAGGAACACCUGUGGUGUAGACGGCUUUCUGGACCAUAGCUGACGCUGAGACACGAAAGCGUGGGUAGCAAACAGG
rnacentral:rRNA from 1 species